rnacentral:rRNA from 1 species
GAUGAACGCUGGCGGCGUGCCUAAUACAUGCAAGUCGAGCGAACAGACGAGGAGCUUGCUCCUCUGACGUUAGCGGCGGACGGGUGAGUAACACGUGGAUAACCUACCUAUAAGACUGGGAUAACUUCGGGAAACCGGAGCUAAUACCGGAUAAUAUAUUGAACCGCAUGGUUCAAUAGUGAAAGACGGUUUUGCUGUCACUUAUAGAUGGAUCCGCGCCGCAUUAGCUAGUUGGUAAGGUAACGGCUUACCAAGGCAACCAUGCGUAGCCGACCUGAGAGGGUGAUCGGCCACACUGGAACUUGGACACGGUCCAGACUCCUACGGGAGGCGACAGUAGGGAAUCUUCCGCAAUGGGCGAAAGCCUGACGGAGCAACGCCGCGUGAGUGAUGAAGGUCUUCGGAUCGUAAAACUCUGUUAUUAGGGAAGAACAAAUGUGUAAGUAACUAUGCACGUCUUGACGGUACCUAAUCAGAAAGCCACGGCUAACUACGUG